UACGUAGGGACCAAGCGUUUGUUCGGAUUUACUGGGCGUAAAGGGCGCGUAGGCGGUGCGGUAAGUCACUUGUGAAAUCUCUGGGCUUAACCCAGAAAGGUCAACCGAUACUGCGGGGCUAGAGUGCAGAAGGGGCAACUGGAAUUCUCGGUGUAGCGGUGAAAUGCGUAGAUAUCGAGAGGAACACCUGCGGCGAAGGCGGGUUGCUGGGCUGACACUGACGCUGAAGCGCGAAAGCUAGGGGAGCGAACGGG
rnacentral:rRNA from 1 species